AGUGGAAUAACUGGGUCAAAUGGUGGUUCCAUUCCACAUUUUCUAAGGUAUCAUCAUACUGCUUUUCAAAGUGGUUGUACCAUCUUGAAUUCCCACCAGCAAU
rnacentral:pre_miRNA from 1 species